ACGCUAUUAGUAUAGUACAAAAUUAUAUUUAGCUUCCAACUAAAAGACCCUGACACCCCCUCAGGAUAACGUA
rnacentral:tRNA from 1 species